UAAGAAAAGAGGCUAGCAGUCUUAGCUUUAGUGAUAUAGGUUGUAUUUACGUUAGAUGAAAAAAGGCAAUUCAGUUAUUAUGGUGUAGACUCUAGGUUACAACAAUCAGAAAAGAGGCAAGCAGUCUUAGCUUUAGUGAUAUAGGUUGUAUUAACGUUAGAUGAAAGAAGGCAAUUCAGUUAUUAUGGUGUAGACUCUAGGUUACAACAAUCAGAAAAGAGGCUAGCAGUCUUAGCUUUAGUGAUAUAGGUUGUAUUUACGUUAGAUGAAAGAAGGCAAUUCAGUUAUUAUGGUGUAGACUCUAGGUUACAACAAUCAGAAAAGAGGCUAGCAGUCGUAGCUUUAGUGUAUAGGUUGUAUUUACGUUAGAUGAAAGAAGGCAAUUCAGUUAUUAUGGUGUAGACUCUAGGUUACAACAAUCAGAAAAGAGGCUAGCAGUCUUAGCUUUAGUGAUAUAGGUUGUAUUAACGUUAGAUGAAAGAAGGCAAUUCAGUUAUUAUGGUGUAGACUCUAGGUUACAACAAUCGGAAAAGAGGCUAGCAGUCUUAGCUUUAGUGUAUAGGUUGUAUUUACGUUAGAUGAAAGAAGGCAAUUCAGUUAUUAUGGUGUAGACUCUAGGUUACAACAAUCAGAAAAGAGGCUAGCAGUCUUAGCUUUAGUGAUAUAGGUUGUAUUUACGUUAGAUGAAAGAAGGCAAUUCAGUUAUUAUGGUGUAGACUCUAGGUUACAACAAUCAGAAAAGAGGCAAGCAGUCUUAGCUUUAGUGAUAUAGGUUGUAUUAACGUUAGAUGAAAGAAGGCAAUUCAGUUAUUAUGGUGUAGACUCUAGGUUACAACAAUCAGAAAAGAGGCUAGCAGUCUUAGCUUUAGUGGUUGUAUUUACGUUAGAUGAAAGAAGGCAAUUCAGUUAUUAUGGUGUAGACUCUAGGUUACAACAAUCAGAAAAGAGGCUUGCAGUCUUAGCUUUAGUGGUUGUAUUUACGUUAGAUGAAAGAAGGCAAUAAUUCAGUUAUUAUGGUGUAGACUCUAGGUUGCAAUAAACAUAAAAGAGGCUAGCAGUCUUAGCUUUAGUUGUCUAGGUAAUCAAUGUAGGUUUGUAAGCAAGAGACUAGCAAUUAAAGCUAUAGUGAUGGUGAUAUAUACCACAGGUUUAUGUAAAAUUUAUCUGUUUAGGUGCUUUUUGUAUGUCAUCAAAAAUGAUAUUUUAAGGAUUAAGAGGAUUGUAAAUGUAAGGUAAUUCAAAAAGAAACGGGCAAAUUUUAGUAAUCAAAAUUCAAUUAAAAUAUUACAGACGAUUCUGUAAAGCUGUUAUUUAUUUGUUUAUUUAUUUCUUUUUAUUAUCCAUACAAAAUAGGUUUUAUGUAUUAAAUAUGUCUGAUAUGUUAUUAUUACGGUUAAUAACCAUGCCAAAAUAACACAAUAAUUAAAUUACUUUAAAUUUUGAUACAACUAAUAACAAUGAUAUGUAUGAACUAAAAUUUAAAAUGGUCCCAAAUAUAUUUUUUAAAAUAGAUAAGGUUGUAAUAAUAACUGUCAAAUCUUAAAAUAGCUGGAAAUCGAAGAAGGGAGCCAUAUGUGUAAAAUUUGUUGGAGUCUUGUAAGUACAUUAAAAAGAAAAAAAAUAAGAUUGGAGUCACUACUAUUUAUUUAUAUAAAUUUAUUUAUUCGUUGAUCAAUCUGAUUACCUUAUUAAUAUAAAAACUUAAUUACGAUUUACGACUUGAUCCCCUCGCCCUUCGUUCGGAUUCCUGGAACAUUCGAAUUCUUACAAAGGGUAUUUUUUGUCAAAAAAUAAUAGUACUGUGAAAUUUUUAAUGUAAAAUAAUCUAUAAACGUAUAAAUCUGUGUAGCCCUUCAAUUACGAUGACAACAUAAAAUGGAUAUUUGUCAACUGAUGAACCUGAAUAGCUAUUAUUCAAAAAAUAUGACGGUUAGAUAGAGCUUUAUGUAAAGAUGUGGAGCUGUAAUUUUAAACUUUAAUGACGAAUCGUACCUGUUAACCUAAAUUAAUUUCGUAAAUAAAAUGCUUGGGGUAUCAAUAGAUCUUCAAUGACGAUGACAAUACUUGUAUGGUAGAGCAAAUAUUUGGUUAUUCUUCUGAUAGUUCAAAUUAAAAAUAUUUGUAACAAUUUUGAGUAGCUGUGAAUAAAUAAAUAUAGAGUCCUAUUCAAUAUUUAUAAACAUAAACCUAAUCUGUGUAGAGCCCCUCAAUACUUAUGACCACCUUACUUAUUUUAGCUAUCUCUUAACUAAAUCUGAGUAAGUAUUCACAAAAUCGUAUUGUAGAGUCGUAGUAGGUAAUUUACUCGAACAAUAAGAUGAUAGUGAUUAUAUUUUUAUAAUAGUAAUAAAUUCAAGUAGCCGAUUUUAUUAAAAAAAAGGAAGAUGGAAAUAGAGGCAUAACGUAUAAAAUAUUCUCGCACAUAUAAAAUGAUAGUCAUAGGUAUUUUAAGAUGAUAUAUCUGUAUUUUUAAAUAUUAUUUCAGAUUUGCGUAACUAAGUUUACCCUUGAAAAGGAAUAAAUAAAAAGGUAAUUAAUAUAUAAAUGAUAGAUCUGUAAUUUUAAAUAUUAAUUCCGAUUUGAGUUUUGAGCUGAGUAGCUAUUCUUCAUAAAAUAAGAUUGUAGAGAGAGCCAUAGGAGAUCUUUACUAUUAUUACCUACUGUAAUUAUAAAUAUUAUUUCAGAUUUGUGCUUUUAACUAGGUAGCUAUUCUUUAUAAAAGAAGAGGUAGAGAGCCAUUGGUAUUUUAAGACUGACUAAGAAGAUGGGGCGAAGACAAGACGUUUUAAGAUAAGAAAGAAAUAAUAGGCAAUAAAAAGAUUAGGCGAUAAAACUAGUUGAAAAACAAAUUUAUAGCAAGUCAAUGUGCCAUUAAUAAAACCCGUAAUUAUUAAGUAGCUAUUUUAGAGGUGAUACUCAAAACUAACGUUAUGAUAAGAAAGAAAAAAUAGGCAAUAAAAAGAUGAAGCUAAUUUUAGUUGAAAAACAUAUAAGUAGCUAUUUUAGAAACGAUACUCAAAAAUAACGUUAUGAAAAGAACGAAAAAAUAGGCAGUAUAAAGAUAAAGCGAAUUCUAGUUGAAAAACAUAUUUAUAGCAAGACAAUGUGCAGCUGAUAAAACCCGUAAUUAUUAAGUAGAUAUCUUAGAGGCGAUAAUUAAAAAAUGUAUUAUGAUUAGAAAAAUAUAAUAGGCAUUAAAAAGAUCAGCCGAAUUCUAGUCGAAAAACUAAUUUAUAGCAAGAAUAUUAAACCCGUAAUUAUUAGGUAAAUAUCUUGUAGGCGAUACUCAAAAAUAAUAUAAUGAUAGAUAAGGCGAAUACUAGUUGAAAAACAAUUUAAUAGCAAGACAAAGAGCCAUUACUAAAACCUGUAAUUGAUAAGUCGAUAUCUCAUAGACGAUACUCAAAAAUAAUAUUAUGAUAAGAAAGAAGUAUUAGGCAAUAAAAAGAUAAGCCGAAUUCUAGUUGCAAAACAAAUUUAUAGCACGACAAUGUGCCAUUAAUUACAACCCGUAAUUAUUAUGUAGCUAUUUUAGAGGCGAUUUUCAAAAAUAACAUUAGGAUAAGAAAGCAAAAAUAGGCAAUAACAAGAUUAGGAGAAUACUAGUUUAAAAACAAAUUUAUAGCAAGUCAAUGUGACAUUAAUAAAAACCGUUAUUAUUAAGUUGACAUCUUAAGAGGCGAUACUCAAAAAAAUGUUAUGAUUAGAAAGAAAUAAUAGGCAAUAACAAGAUUAGGCGAUUACUAGUUUAAAAACAAAAUUAAUAAAACCCGUAAUUAUUAUGUAGCUAUUUUAGAGGCGAUUUUCAAAAAUAACAUUAGGAUAAGAAAGCAAAAAUAGGCAAUAACAAGAUUAGGAGAAUACUAGUUUAAAAACAAAUUUAUAGCAAGUCAAUGUGACAUUAAUAAAAACCGUUAUUAUUAAGUUGACAUCUUAAGAGGCGAUACUCAAAAAAAUGUUAUGAUAAGAAAGAAAAAAUAGGCAAUAAAAAGAUGAAGCUAAUUUUAGUUGAAAAACAUAUUUAUAUCAAGAAAAUUAAACCCGUAAUUAUUAAGUAGCUAUUUUAGAGGCGAUACUCCAAAAUAACGUUACGAAAAGAAAGAAAAAAUAAUUUAAGCGAAUUCUUGUUGAAAAACAAAUUUAUAGCAAGACAGUGUGCAGUUGAUAAAAUCCGUAAUUAUUAAGUACAAUAUAUCUUAUAGAGUACUCAAAAAUAAUAUUACAAUAAUAGGCAAUAAAAAGAUUAGGCGAUAAAACUAGUUGAAAAACAAAUUUAUAGCAAGUCAAUGUGCCAUUAAUAAAACCCGUAAUUAUUAAGUAGCUAUUUUAGAGGUGAUACUCAAAAAUAACGUUAUGAUAAGAAAGAAAAAAUAGGCAAUAAAAAGAUGAAGCGAAUUUUAGUUGAAAAACAUAUAAGUAGCUAUUUUAGAAACGAUACUCAAAAAUAACGUUAUGAAAAGAACGAAAAAAUAGGCAGUAUAAAGAUAAAGCGAAUUCUCGUUGAAAAACAUAUUUAUAGCAAGACAAUGUGCAGCUGAUAAAACCCGUAAUUAUUAAGUAGAUAUCUUAGAGGCGAUAAUUAAAAAAUGUAUUAUGAUUAGAAAAAUAUAAUAGGCAUUAAAAAGAUCAGCCGAAUUCUAGUCGAAAAACUAAUUUAUAGCAAGAAUAUUAAACCCGUAAUUAUUAGGUAAAUAUCUUGUAGGCGAUACUCAAAAAUAAUAUAAUGAUAGAUAAGGCGAAUACUAGUUGAAAAACAAUUUAAUAGCAAGACAAAGAGCCAUUACUAAAACCUGUAAUUGAUAAGUCGAUAUCUCAUAGACGAUACUCAAAAAUAAUAUUAUGAUAAGAAAGAAGUAUUAGGCAAUAAAAAGAUAAGCCGAAUUCUAGUUGCAAAACAAAUUUAUAGCACGACAAUGUGCCAUUAAUUACAACCCGUAAUUAUUAUGUAGCUAUUUUAGAGGCGAUUUUCAAAAAUAACAUUAGGAUAAGAAAGCAAAAAUAGGCAAUAACAAGAUUAGGAGAAUACUAGUUUAAAAACAAAUUUAUAGCAAGUCAAUGUGACAUUAAUAAAAACCGUUAUUAUUAAGUUGACAUCUUAAGAGGCGAUACUCAAAAAAAUGUUAUGAUUAGAAAGAAAUAAUAGGCAAUAACAAGAUUAGGCGAUUACUAGUUUAAAAACAAAAUUAAUAAAACCCGUAAUUAUUAUGUAGCUAUUUUAGAGGCGAUUUUCAAAAAUAACAUUAGGAUAAGAAAGCAAAAAUAGGCAAUAACAAGAUUAGGAGAAUACUAGUUUAAAAACAAAUUUAUAGCAAGUCAAUGUGACAUUAAUAAAAACCGUUAUUAUUAAGUUGACAUCUUAAGAGGCGAUACUCAAAAAAAUGUUAUGAUAAGAAAGAAAAAAUAGGCAAUAAAAAGAUGAAGCUAAUUUUAGUUGAAAAACAUAUUUAUAUCAAGAAAAUUAAACCCGUAAUUAUUAAGUAGCUAUUUCAGAGGCGAUACUCCAAAAUAACGUUACGAAAAGAAAGAAAAAAUAAUUUAAGCGAAUUCUUGUUGAAAAACAAAUUUAUAGCAAGACAGUGUGCAGUUGAUAAAACCCGUAAUUAUUAAGUACAAUAUAUCUUAUAGAGGGGUGAUACUCAAAAAUAAUAUUACAAUAAUAGGCAAUAAAAAGAUGAGGCGAAUACUAGUUGAAAAACAUAUAUUAUGAUAAGAAAGAAAUUAUAGGGAGUAAAAUGGGUUACGCGAAUUCUAGUUGAAAAACAAAUUUAUAGCAAGACAGUGUGCAGUUGAUAAAACCCGUAAUUCUCAAAAAUAAUAUUACAAUAAUAGGAAAUAAAAAGAUAAGGCAAAUUCUAGUUGAAAAACAAAAUUCAUAGCAAGACAUUGUGUCAUUAAUAUAACCCGUAUUAUUAAGUAGAUAUCUUAGAGGUGAUACUAAAAAUUAUAUUAUGAUAAGAAAUAAAUAAUAGGCAAUAAAAAGAUUUGGCGAAUACUAGUAAAACAAAUUUAUAGCAAGGCAAUAUGCCAUUAAUAAAAACCGUAAUUAUUAUGUAGUUAUUUUAGAGGCGAUUCUCAAAAAUUACGUUCUGAUAAGAAAGAAAAAAUAGGCAAUAACAAGGCGAUUACUAGUUUAAAAACAAAUUUAUAUCAUGAAAAUUAAACCGGUAAUUAUUAAGUAGCUAUUUUAGAGGCGAUACAAAAAAUAACGUUAUGAAACGAAAGAAAAAAUUAUUUAAGCGAAUUCUAGUUGAACAACAACUUCAUAUCAAGACAGUGUGCAGUUGAUAAAAAUUUAUUAUUAAGUAGAUAUCUUAGAGGUGAUAAUGAAAAUUAUAUUAUGAUAAGAAAUAAAUAAUAGGCAAUAAAAAGAUUAGGCGAAUACUAAUAAAAACAAAUUUAUAGCAAGGCAAUAUGCCAUUAAUAAAAACCGUUAUUAUUAAAGUUGACAUUAGAGCUAAAGACUUGAAAUUUGGUAGGAAUAUUCUUUUCACCGAGUAGAGGUCAGCUAAGAACGGAUUUUACAAAAUUCCACCCGCACGUUUUUUUUUUAUAAUGAACAGAACAACGUCUGUCGGGUCAGGUAGUAUAUUAUAUACUAACCAUAAUGCAUACAAAUGUAAGUGAAAUAAAAAAAAACACACGUAUCAAACACUAGUUAUCCAGUUAAUUAAAAAUUAAAUCGGUUGUGAAUCUAUAUUUGAUUUUUCAUGUCUGUCGUCGAAACUAGGCUUCAUAAUGCCAUAACUAAUGAAAUAGGACUAACCAUACUGAAUCAUUAUAUUUUAUUUCUUUUUACUUUUUUUAUCGUGUUUAUUUUAUUAGCAAUGUUUUUGUUCCUGCUGUAAAAAACUACGACAAAUCGCUUAAACAGUUUACUUUUUAAUAUUAUAUUCAUCUCAUUAUUAAUCUACGCUUUACACUAUUGUAGGUAAUAUUACCUACAUGCUAAACUUUUGGGAACAUUAAGAGAAAUAUAGUAUAAUUAAGUAAAUAGUUUUAAUUUAAACAUGAUUUGAAUGGUUUAUAUAUUCUAAUACGAGUGGCAACCCUUUUGAUUUAGUAACUAUAAAAAUAUGUAGAAUACCCCUAAAUUUAAAUUUACAACUUUUACAACGUGCUUAAUUAUUGUUUAAUCUUAAGCAGAUUUUUUUUUUAAAAAACAAUAACUGUUUACACUUAAAAAAUAAUUUCAAUUCAACAUAAAGUAAUGAUUGUAUUUGUUUUGAUAAAAUAUUAAAAGUCAGAAUUGUUUGUAUAAACAGAUAUCCCCCAGAGAUUGGAUUCAUAAAAUAGUUUUAAAUAAAAAGAAACGCGUACACAGAUAUUAAUUUCUAAGCCAAACAUAAAUAAACAUACUGGAUGUUAACAUAUUUAUUUUUACAAAAAAAUAUUAUAUUAAAGCAUGGCUUUUACAUGAUAAUCAUUAAAUUUGAUAAAAUGGUUAUUUCUCUUCAAAUUUCAAAUGACCUAAGCAAUUAGCUAACGUCUUCUAAAUAUAAUUAUUAUUUACUACCUUAUAUGAAUACUUAGUACUGUUUCUAUUUAAAUAAGAAUUUGAAUUAACACACAUUUAGUUAAUUGACGCGAGCUAAGUACAUAACUUAAUUGUAAAUAUAAAAAUUAAAAUACAAUAAUGUAUAUACCAGUAAUUGUAAGAUAAUCAACACGAAAUAUAUAAUAUGUAUACCGUAAAUAGUUAUGCCAUAACACACUAGAGCUUGUUUGUAAAUGGGUUAAAUUAAGGUAUAGAAUAUUUUUGGCUAGAAUAGUUGUCGCAGGAUUUAAAAAAAGAUAUAAUUCUUAACACUAGUUUUGAAUUAGUGAAUUAAUAAAAACAAGUUUGGCUCGUGAUUAUUAUCAUCACAACCAUAAUAAUAUUGUAUUAACUUUACAUAUAAGCAUAUAAAAGCUAUCGAUUUCUGACUAUCUAAGACAAUAUAUUGGUAUAUUUAUUAAAACUUGAAACAUACUUUAACAAUUUUCAGCUAUUAAACAUAUUGAUUCUAUUUAUUUAUAUGUGACUUGUUCAACAGAGGCGGCUUAUGACGAGAUACGGGCAGGCAGGUCGGUCGCGUUACAACAUUAAUGUUAGCGUAGGCCAAAGUCGGCUUCGAAAUCUAUAACGCGACGAUUAUACUCAAGGAUCAUCCCGGUCUUCCGGUAGAAACAUCCCCUAUUUAUUAGGGAUUUUUCUUUAAACUCGCUCGAGUGCAGAUUAGUUUUUAUAAGGAAGCUGCAGGCAGGCUUGUUAGCGAAAAGAAAUUCAAAAAAGAUACCGUUGAAAAUUGAGAUUAUCAGGAGCAAAAUCGCAUUUUAUUAAUUUUAACUGUGUCUCUGAAAGGCGUAAUGUUUUCGAUCACAUUCUCACACUGCUAUUGUAUAAUGCUCGGUCCGGUCGUGGGUAGUAUUUCAAUAAAUAUGAAAAGCAAUUUUUAUGACGUACAUUGAACUUCAUCUUGAAAGGUUUAGAGUAAGAGUAUGAUCUAAUUUUCUUAAGCCCCGAUUUCACCAUUGAAGUAGAACGCGAUUAGAAAAAAACGCGAUAAAAAAUUCUGGUUAGCACACGCAUCAACCAUUGAAAUGUUGAAAGGUCACUUUAGCAGCAAAUGCUUGGUCAAAAGAAGAAUAAAAGUCGUGUUCAAAUUCCGAAUUAAAAAAGCAGUAUCCUAAAGUCACUGGAAAGAUCUAAAUAAUAAGAGGAUAAACAGUCGCUUUAAAUAUGCACUUACCGAAUUGAAAAGGUUAAGGAUUAUACCCCAGAGAUAAAAACAAGUGAAACAGUAACGAAAUGAGAUAAUAAAAGGUAGUCUACAAAUAAACAUAUGAUUUAAAUUUCAAGGAUAUUCCGAACUGAUAAGGUAGCUAGACACGUACGUCUGUAAGUAGAUUUGGGAUUAUGAAAUAAUAAUAUUGAAAAUUCAAAAGAGAAAGACUAGACGCAGUAAAACGCCCAAAAGAUGAGCUUUUAGAAAAUUUUGUCUUAACUUAUUACUCCCAGAAGAAAUAGUAAGUUUGUUUUGUUUUCUAAUUUUUAUUUUUCGUUCUUAAGCCCCGAUUUCACAAUUGAAGUAAAACGCGAUUAAAAAUUCUGGUUAGCACACGCAGCAACCAUUGAAAUGUUGAAAGGUCACUUUAGCAGCAAAUGCUUGGUCAAAAGAAGAAUAAAAGUCGUGUUCAAAUUCCGAAUUAAAAAAGCAGUACCCUAAAAUCAUUGGAAAGAUCUAAAUAAUAAGAGGAUAAACUAGUCGCUUUAAAUAUGCACUUAGCGAAUUGAAAAGGUUAAGGAUUAUACCCCAGAGAAAAAACAUAAGUGAGAAGGUAACGAAAUGAGAUAAUAAAAGGUAGACAAAUAAACAUAGGAUUUAAAUUUCAAGGAUAUUCCGAACUGAUAAGGUAGCUAGACACGUACGUCUGUAAGUAGAUUUGGGAUUAUGAAAGAAAUAAUAUAAUAUUGAAAAAUCAAAAGAGAAAGACUAGACGCAGUAAAAUGCCCAAACGAUGAGUUUUUCGAAAAUUUUGUCUUAACUUAUUACUCCCAGAAGAAAUAGUAAGUUUAUUUUGUUUUCUAAUUUUUCUUUUUCGUUAUAAAGAUAACGUUAUCAAACAGGAUCUCGAAGAUACGGAAAGAAAAAUAUUACAAGAUGGUACGAAAAACAGGAUUAAAAUAUUUUUAAUACGUUUGCUUUAAGCUUGUUUACAUUUUGGUAAAAAAAAUAUUCGAGUGGGGAAAAUAUUUUAGGUUGCUACGAAAGUUGGUUUCAAGUUAUUUAAUUGUGAGUAUGAAACAAUAUAAUUAGUUCAGUAUAGUUGGUGACAAAUGUAUAAAAAUUUUGUAAUUGUGUUAAUGAGUUUCUUUAAAGUUGAUAUCUAAUGAAGUGAUCAGUUUGGUUCUGUGAUGGAAGUGAUUGAAUAUAAUUAAUUUUUUUUUUCUGAAAAGCAAGAUAUUUUACAAUUUUAUACGAUAGGUGAAAUUAAUAUCAAUGUACAAAAAAUGCACCUACUUUUUUUAAUAAACGAUAAAAACUACGAAAUAGUUUACCUCCGCCAAUUUACGUUGCUGCAAUGUUAUCAUUCAAUCCCGAACUAUGGGGAAAGUUUUUGUUAAAGUUUGUUCACAGAAGAUCCAGUAAAAUCGUUCGGAUAAAAAUGUUGGGCUCGGUAAUGAAACACUUAAACGAAUGUUAUGCUUUUGGCACAAAUGUUUGGUUUUAGAGAAUGUUCACAGAGGUACACCAACAAAAGGACACACAUCAUUUCGAAUUAGCUUUGAGUAUGUAAGGAACACAAUUUAGUAUUUCUGAUUGUAUAAUAUUCUUGUUAAAAAUUUUAGCUUCAAGCACGUGCUUGUAAUAUCAAUAAUUCUUGUUGUAUGCAUUUUCAAUCGCCUACUAGGCCCAUUAGGUUGUGCUAAAGUGUGCUUUCAGAAACCAUUACGAUACAUAGACCGCCCGGCGCGCAGAAUAAUAUGGAGACAGUAGCUGCUUCAAACCACCUAAAAAGAAAUGCUUGGACGUUUAUUUACACUUUACAAUGUUUUAUCGUGUUUGAAUAGGCUUACGGAAUGCUUGCACAAUAACUUGAGAUGUAUGGAAUGCUACGGUGAAAUUCGGUAAUCAAUUGGGUUUAACUUGAUUUAGUGUUAGAGUUGUCGUGCCAUUUUUGUGUGAUUGCAGAUAAUUAACGCAGUGUGGAGGUUUUCAUCUAUUUCCAAAAAUCUGUCUAGGUAUAAUGUACUAUAUCGUUCGGAUAUAUCCGGUUGUUUUAACGCUUGACUUUAAACUAUAAAGCUUCGCAUAAGGGAUCUUCUGGGUAAUGUUUAAUAUUAUACAGUUACGUAUGUAUUAGUUGCAUGACACAUUUUUUGUGACAUCACUAUUUUAUUUUUGCUAACAUUUAAUGCCUAUAUGAUGGACCAUUAGCAUUUUAGAAUUGUAUCUGGUUUUUAUGUAAAAACAAUUCCAAUACAUCCCUUUAUCCUUUUAUCAUACAUGUCCCUGGGUUAGGCAAAAUCGAAAAUUUCUUAUGAUUUCAGAUAUGUUAUUUAGCCAGUAAUACAAAUUUAUAUUAAACUUCAACAAUCUUUCUAAGAGGUUAUGAUCUAAAUGUAAUGUAAAUCAUAAAGGAAAAAUUAACUGGAUUGAGCUAUAAUACGUCGACGAUUUGCUGCAUUGACGACAUAUGUCUAUCGAUUUCUCUCGCGCCCGGAUUCCUGUGAUUGGCCGUAGUUUUACCGGUAACAAACAAAAAAUACUAGCAAAAAAGUGCAAAACUCGUGCCCAGUAAAUAUCUUCGCCAGUUCGGAAAUGAAAUGUAUGUAAAAAUUGGAGUCUACCAGUGCAAUGGCAUGAUCGAUGGAAAGUUUGAAUGUGUGUAUGGAGCAUACUUGCGGUUGGAGAUCAGAUAAGGUGAACCAUCUAUUUAAGUCACGCCAAAAUUGCAAUUUGAAGGAAGUAAUAUUCGACUCGCAAUUUGCACUGAACGUUUACGUAUUAUUAUUUGUAGUAGGAUCCCAAUUGUGCCUUAACGCUUGAUGCACCUAACUGGAGCAGGUAUGGUAAAAUUUACAAUAAAUUACAGAACUCAGUGGCGGUUUAAUUAUUCUUGAUUUCAGCUGCAAUGAUAUAUUAUCAAACGAAUAAGACACCAAUUGUAGUACCGAAAUGAACAAGGUAAUUCUUAAAUUUUAACGUCUUACCUCUUCUUCCAAGUUCGUGUUUCUAUAUUAUUCGCAGAUUGAUCCGGAGACCACAGUGGCCGGUACGGUAAACUAAUCGCUGAAGGCUUUAAAUUUAAUUUAGGUUAGCCCAAAAGUCCUACCUGAUUCUGCUAUGUCCAAGUUGUGGAAUAUACAAAAAGGUACAGUCAUCAUUUGCGUCCCUGCCAUUAAAUGCGUGUGAGCAAGUCAGCGUUUUAAAAUACUCCUGGCGGUUGAUCAUCACAAGGUAGAUAUUGCCGACGGAUGACUUUAUACUAGUUUAGUAAACCUGAGAUAGUCCACCACACUGAAACCCAGGCCGUACUUCUGGAUCUGAUGUAAUCGGUAACUUAUUUAUAUAUUAUAAUGCCUUUAUUGCUCUUAUGCCCGUCAUAAAUGUGUAUGUGGCUGAUAUCUGUAAAAGUAAUUUUGCAUUUUAAAUGCAUACUAUUAGGUGUUGUGACUAGUUUGUCCUCACCGUUUAAAUAGGUAUUAGGUAGAGAAAAUAUUUGCAAUGUAACAGACUGUUCCAGACUAACUCGUGAAUGAGAAUGCCAAUCGUAAGUCCUGAGAUAACCAUUCCAGGCAUAUGCAGCACGUGUGUUGUAAGUUUUAUCUCAAUACAAUUUUAUUUUAAAAACAAUAAGGGUGUUGUGACUUACUUGUCCUCACCAUUUAUUUGUUAGGUAGAGAAAAUAUUUAGAAUGUUACAGACCGCUCCAGACUUAUUCGCGAAUGAAUGCCCAUCGCGUAAAACCUGAGAUAUCUAUUCCAGGCAUAUGCAGCACGUGUAUUGUAAGUUUUAUCUCAAUACAAUUUUAUUUUAAAAACAAUAAGGGUGUUGUGACUUACUUGUCCUCACCAUUUAUUUGUUAGGUAGAGAAAAUAUUUAGAAUGUUACAGACCGCUCCAGACUUAUUCGCGAAUGAAUGCCCAUCGCGUAAGCCCUGAGAUAUCUAUUCCAGGCAUAUGCAGCACGUGUAUUGUAAGUUUUAUCUCAAUCCAAUUUUAUUUUAAAAACAAUAAGGGUGUUGUGACUUAUUUGUCCUCACCAUUUAUUUAUUAGGUAGAGAAAAUAUUUAGAAUGUUACAGACCGUUCCGGAUUUACUCGUGAAUGAACGCCCAUCGUAAGCCCUGAGAUAUCCACUCCAGGCAUAUGCUGCACGUGUAUUGUAAGUUUUAACAAAUUUUAAAUCUCAAAACGCUACGUAGGAAAGGAAAUUGUUUUGUUUUGAUUACAGAUAGUUAGUCUGCAGCAAAAAGAGCAAACCAUGUUACGGAAUUAAUUAUAAAGAACGCACGGUACAAUCGCGCCCCACCAUGUCUCGCAGAUAAAUAUAACCUGGUAUAAUUAUUCGAUAAAAAAAAACAAAGAUACAAAACUUUUCUGGAAAUUCGGGUUUUUUAAUAUGUUCAACAGACGCGUGCUUCGCGUUUGGGUUUGAGGGACAAGUCUAUCGACGCUGGUACGGAAACGUCAAUAAAAGGUCUGAAUUUUUUCUAUACUUUAAGGCUAGGCAAAACUAAGUAUGAUUUCAUAUAACUAGUCAGAUAUAAUGUAGCUUAGCAUAGAAAACGUUUAAUGUUUGCUUACAGAACCAUGGAUUACGAGAUUCCUGCAUUCGUUACCGUUAGUGUAAGAUAUAUUUCCUGUUUCUUUAAUUCUGUUUCCAGAAAUCGCCGAUACGAUUUAAUCCGCGCACGCCAUCAAAAUCAUUUAGAAAGUGCACGAAUAAAUGGAAGUACAAGUAAUAAUUUUAUUUAGUUUAGGCCUUGCAACAAUCGGUGUUUUGUUAUUGAUUACAGAAUGCAGUCCGGGUGCAUCGCGGUUUGUUGCCAGCAAUAAAAUGAUUAUUCGGUAAUUUAACAGUUGACGAGAAUGUUGUAUAUUUGCACGCAACAUUGGGGAUGCCUUGUAAAUGUUUCAGAUAGUAGUUCCAAGCAAAUAAAUCCAACCUUAGAACGUAGAUUGUGCAGAUUGUUUACUUAUAAGUUGACAGUUGACACCACCUUAAUGACCUGCUAGUGCUACAGCUGACAGCGGCGUAAAUCGUGACCUUUAUGAGUAAGAUUUUUAAGCGUAAUUAAUCUAUUUACCUUUCCCCCUCCUAAUUAUUAUUGCUUCAGUAAGACGUUUUUAUAAGCUUUCAGGUAUCUUGUUAUUGUGUGUUACAUUGUCGAAAUACAUAGAUAACUAGAUUGUUGUAGUGUGUGUACAUAUGGAAUAAUUGUUAAAUUGUGAAUGUUUUAACACAAUUCUAGUUCAAGCACGAAAUUUUACUAAAUGUCAAUUAUCACGGAGAAAGGUUUCACAGAGAUGACUGGUAUUGUCGAGGUUUGUCCUAGAUGUGCAACUAAUUAUUGGGCUUUUGUUAAUAGUUUUAAUGAAAUGGGCGGCUUUAGAAUUAUUAAAACCCCGCAUUCUAAGUUCUUGCUGAUUGUUAUUUGAUUUUACGCUUUAAUCACAUCGAAUCUGUGCUAAACGUUAGCGACAUUGUAAUAUAAUUUGAUAAAGCUAGUCUUAGUUGUAUUUGAAGCGUUCUUGGUGAUUUCAGCACUUCUAGAUGCCGGCUGUGGCUAACGUUAUUCUUAUUAUGUAAGCAUGAGAGCUUGAUUGGUACAUGGUUAUAUUAAAUCGAUCUCACAAACACCCCCAGCUUGUGUGGUAUUAAAGCAUAUUGAACGUCGAUCCAUUGCAACAAUAAAUUGAGUGCACGUCUAUUAUUAUUAUACAACAAAUCCAAGAACGAUGCUUAUGUUGAAUUGUUAUUGGUAUGUGUUUCGAUUCUUCGUUCACAGCUUAACCUAUGGUGGAUUUAAAUUUAACCUUUAUAUUUUUAAUAGUAUUGUUUAAAAUAUAUUUUAUAUUUAAAUUGUAUUUAAGUCAUGCUUAUUCAACAAAAAAAUCAUUCUUAUGUAUGUAAUGUUAACUAGGUCUAAAACAUUUAUAACUCUAACAUCUGUGUAUGUUAAAAUUGUUUAAAGUUUGUAGCACUUUUAUCUCCGAUAACCACUUAUAUUUAUUAAUUUGAUAUAUAUACUUCAAUAUGAAACAUUGCAGCAAUCGUAAAAAUCCUUAUAUAUAACCCUAUGAAUGUAAUCAAAUAGAAUAGGAAAUCAUUUUGAACGAGUAUUACGCCGCGUUGUGAAGAAUAGGACGUUACUCCGGGCGAUGACAUAGGUAGGAAGAAAAGGAAAGCUAGUUCGGAACGCGGUGGGAGGACUCAGAAAAAUCAAGUUAAUAUUGUGUUACUUUAAUUAAUAAAAAAAGUGAUUCCCGUGGAGUUUCUUGCGCCGCUUCUUCUCCACGGAAGAACACAUUGCGAAGCGGUGGUAGUUUUUCCAAAUCUAAAUUCCAAGUAAAUAAAAUACUCUUAAAUCUAACAA